UUUUAGGUGUGAAGCUCAUAGCAUAGCUUGCUACAAAGUCUAUGUUAUAUUAUUUUAUAUAAGUAGCUGUGAGCUGACGUUCGCUUGAAGCAAUGCGUUUAAUCGCCAAGUUAAAUGUUAUUUUACAAGUUUAGCAAUCGAAAAAGUAUCUCGGGAAUAAAUAAAUAGGCAAAUAUAAUAAGCUGCAUGCAUCAUUGAGCACUUGAAUUUCAAUACUGUCCAUCACCAAGACAGCAGAGAUUUUUAAUAAUUUACAAAUAGUAAGCGUGUGCGGCUUUGGUCGCGUUAACUUGGAAGCGCAAAUUUUCAAACAAGUCUAUGUUGUAUAUAAUAGCCGCAACGAUCUUUUCUUGAAAAAUAAACCUCAUUUUAGUGAUUAGAGGAUGGCGACCCGCAAUAAAACGGAAAUUUCCAAACGCACUAAUCCUCAGAACUUCAGCUAUAAUAAGCUCUUUACCAUCUUUACCUGAAGCCUGAAGCCUUAAUUGUUUAGAGUAUCGCAGCCUCUAUACCUGACCCUGCGCGCUUAGCCGAUCUGGCUGACCCAACAAAAGAAACUACCUGAUGAAUACCCAAGGGACGCUUACUACUUAUAGAAAUCGGUCUGUGUUGGUCAUCUGGUCUUAUAUUGUUUUUUGUAUACUUUGGAUCCGGAUUAAUUAACAAGUAAAGUUACACUUUAAAAAGAAAGCACUGGAAGUAUAGCAUAUAUAGAGAAUAACAAAGUAAACAAAAAUUCUGUAAUACUUUAGGCAGAAUCUAAAGAAAUAUUAAUUUUUAAUGAAGUUUCGCUAAUAUUAUAUUCUUUAAAGAUCAAAUUUGCCACUGCGUAUCACGUGACUUUGUCACCCGUAUCAUUAUAUAGGUAUAUAUAUACUCAGUCCGCGGAGCUUUGGCUUCUCGGCUAUCUCGCGCUUUCGCAUACACACCAACUAAAGUUUGAGGUUAGGAUUAAGUGUUAAGGCUAUACAAAUUGUAGAACAUUUUUUAAACUAAACAAGAAAAUGAUGUUUCUUUAAGUAAUAGGACCUCAAGCUGUACUUGUUUCUUGUAAAAAACUUAUUUCAAGCGACUAUAAUAUUUAAACUAUAGAAGUAAGUACAAUCAACAAGUCAAAAUGUUAAACAGAAGAGCCAAGACGCGGAUAUACGACUUAGCCCAACAAAUAUGGGUUAGUACGUGUAUUGCAGUCACAGUUGUAAGCUCAGGGUACUUAGGAUACCAGCUUUGGCAUUAUUUUGUUAAUGUGAAACCUAUCAAAAAAGAGGUGGAAGAGCGUUUUAAAGAAGAACUUCUGAAAGAGGGUAGAAUGAUGAGGGAUAAUGCUCCAACCAUGAAAUAAUACUAACGUGUACAAACCUUAGUUAUUUGUUAUUCUAGAAUAACGUACUUUGUUUCAUUUACAAUUAACUACCUUCUGAACAUCUGUAUGUAUACUUUUGUAUUUAUGUACAUUACCAUUUGAAAUAGAAAAAAUUGUUAAUAUUUAA